rfam:Salmo salar isolate Sally breed double haploid chromosome ssa03, whole genome shotgun sequence.
UGUAUGUAUGACUGUAAGUCGCUUUGGCUGAAAGCAUCUGCUAAAUGGCAUAUA